rnacentral:rRNA from 1 species
GAGACAGCAGUAGCCACGGUAAUACGAAGGGGGCUAGCGUUGCUCGGAAUGACUGGGCGUAAAGGGCGCGUAGGCGGCGAUCAAAGUCAGGCGUGAAAUCCCCGGGCUUAACCUGGGAACUGCAUUUGUGACUGGCGAGCUAGAGUAUGGCAGAGGGGGGUAGAAUUCCACGUGUAGCAGUGAAAUGCGUAGAGAUGUGGAGGAAUACCGAUGGCGAAGGCAGCCCCCUGGGCCAAUACUGACGCUCAUGCACGAAAGCGUGGGGAGCAAACAGGAUUAGAUACCCCAGUAGUCCCUGUCUCUUAUAC